UGGAUGACCAAUCUAAAACUAAACCCUAAUGGACUACUAUAAAUACAUAGCAAACACUCACAAUUCUACAUUUCUGUUGCUAAACAGAUUUAAAAUAUGGAGCCAGUUCUGAAUUCACUUGAUGCGAAAAAACAAGCAUGCGAUAUUGAAAAAUCUAAGGAUGAUGGUGAUAAUAGUGUUGAAAUUAUUUCUUAUGGUGCAAUGUUCAGUCCAUACAAGUCUAAGCUUCAACGUCAAUUUAGUGAAGAGGAUCGGAAGUAUGAGAAUCAAAAGAAAAGAUCUAAGAGACUCUCUGAAU